AACGCACCUUGCGCUCUUUGGUAUUCCGAAGAGCAUGCCUGUUUGAGUGUCAUUAAAUUCUCAACCUAAACUUGGUUUUGCGACCGACGUUUAGGCUUGGACUUGGGGGUUGCCGGCUUCUGAAGUCAGCUCCUCUUAAAAGCAUUAGCGGUGACUUGGUUAGCCGUUCCUUGGUGUGAUAAUUAUCUACGCUUUGGUUCAGCUUCCAGUUUGUGUCACAGCUUCUAACUGUCUGUUAACUCGGACUGUUUGCUUGCAAACACUUUUGACUCUUGACCUCAAAUCAGGUAGGACUACCCGCUGAACUUAA
rnacentral:misc_RNA from 2 species